rnacentral:rRNA from 1 species
AUCCUACUUGGAUAACUGUGGCAAUUCUAGAGCUAAUACACGCCUCNAAGCUCUGACCUAUCGGGACGAGCGCUUUUAUUAGACCAAGACCAAUCGGGCUUCGGUCCGUUUCCUUUGGUGACUCUGAAUAACCUUUUGAAGAUCGCACGGUCUCGAACCGGCGAUGCAUCUUUCAAAUGUCUGCCUUAUCAACUGUCGAUGGUAAGUUAUGCGCUUACCAUGGUUGUAACGGGUAACGGAGAAUCAGGGUUCGACUCCGGAGAGGGAGCCUGAGAAACGGCUGCCACAUCCAAGGAAGGCAGCAGGCACGCAAAUUACCCACUCCCGGCACGGGGAGGUAGUGACGAAAAAUAACGAUGCGGGACUCUUCCGAGGCCCCGUAAUCGGAAUGAGUACACUUUAAAUCCUUUAACGAGGAUCAAUUGGAGGGCAAGUCUGGUGCCAGCAGCCGCGGUAAUUCCAGCUCCAAUAGCGUAUACUAAAGUUGUUGCGGCUAAAAAGCUCGUAGUUGGAUUUCAGUCGUAGGCCCGUGGUCCACCGCCCGGUGGCUACUGCCUGGUCUGGACACCUUGCCAGCUCUCCGGCGAUGCUCUUGACCGGGUGUCGUUGGUGGCUGGAACGUUUACUUUGAAAAAAUUAGAGUGCUCUAAGCAGGUGCUAUCGGCUUGAAUAACACAGCAUGGAAUAAUGGAACACGACCUUGGUUCUGUUCUGUUGGUCUUUGGAAGCCAAGGUAAUGAUUAAUAGGGACGGACGGGGGCAUUCGUAUUGCGACGCUAGAGGUGAAAUUCUUGGACCGUCGCAAGACGAACUACUGCGAACGCAUUUGCCAAGAACGUUUUCAUUAAUCAAGAACGAAAGUCAGAGGUUCGAAGGCGAUCAGAUACCGCCCUAGUUCUGACCAUAAACAAUGCCAACCAGCGAUCCGCCGGAGUUACUCCCAUGACUCGGCGGGCAGCUUCCGGGAAACCAAAGUGUUUGGGUUCCGGGGGAAGUAUGGUUGCAAAGCUGAAACUUAAAGGAAUUGACGGAAGGGCACCACCAGGAGUGGAGCCUGCGGCUUAAUUUGACUCAACACGGGACACCUCACCCGGCCCGGACACCGGAAGGAUUGACAGACUGAGAGCUCUUUCUUGAU